rfam:Burkholderia sp. Bk sc_005, whole genome shotgun sequence.
UUGCAGAGUAUAAGCGGCUAGCGUCGGCGUAUCCGACCGGCGUGGGGCAUUGCUCUUGGG